rnacentral:rRNA from 2 species
AUUGAACGCUGGCGGCAUGCUUUACACAUGCAAGUCGAACGGCAGCACGGGCUUCGGCCUGGUGGCGAGUGGCGAACGGGUGAGUAAUGCAUCGGAACGUGCCCAUUUGUGGGGGAUAACUACGCGAAAGCGUGGCUAAUACCGCAUACGCCCUGAGGGGGAAAGCGGGGGAUUCUUCGGAACCUCGCGCAAUUGGAGCGGCCGAUGUCAGAUUAGCUUGUUGGUGAGGUAAAGGCUCACCAAGGCGACGAUCUGUAGCGGGUCUGAGAGGAUGAUCCGCCACACUGGGACUGAGACACGGCCCAGACUCCUACGGGAGGCAGCAGUGGGGAAUUUUGGACAAUGGGGGCAACCCUGAUCCAGCCAUGCCGCGUGAGUGAAGAAGGCCUUCGGGUUGUAAAGCUCUUUCAGCCGGGAAGAAAACGCACUCUCUAACAUAGGGUGUGGAUGACGGUACCGGAAGAAGAAGCACCGGCUAACUACGUG